CCUCCUUUAGCGCCGCCAGCCUCCCUUGUCCCCUUCUCCCGAUCCACACGCGCACGCAUCAAGCCGAGGGAGACGAGCUCCUCACGCCCGAUCCAUGGCCUCUCCCUUCCUCCCGUCGCCGUUUCUCUCUAGCCCCUCCUCUCCCGCGCCCUUGCAGACGCGUGCGAGCACUGCUGCUGCGGUGGUCGUUGCCCGUCUCCAGCCGCCCCACCGGUUCCUCGGUCGUCGCCAAAGGGAGCCUGCCCAUGGCGCCACCUCCUCGCAACCCCUGCCACCGGCAUCCUCGACGGCCGGAGCAAGCACGGCGCCACGUGCACCCUCCGCGGUCCAUCGACGCUGCCCCUCCAAGCCGCAGUUCGGCCAGCGUGCCUUUCCACCUCCUCGUCGCCUUGCAGCGCACCGGCUACCUCCCGCACAGGCGCACAGCACUGCCUCGGUCCGCCCUCCUGGUUUCUUCCUCGCGCGGCCCCGCUGAUGCCUCCUGCCUGCUAUCGCCCCUCCUUCUCCAUGGUCCUGGCUACGGCCUGCUCCUCUCCUCAACUCGGUCGGGCCCGACCUCGACUCCACAACCACCGAACCAGGAACGCCAAGGCCAUCUUCGAGAUUUUCGCCAAGUGCCACAACCGUUGCGUUCCGUUUCAUCUCUGUCAAGGCCGAGAUGACGCCAAGUACCAGGAGGUCGAUGACCCGUCAAGGUCCUCUUCGAACGUGUACUACUACCGUCGCCGAAGACCCGUGUAGCACAAGCGCCAAGUUUGAAUACCAUCAUCGUGAACUACUUCCAAAAUGUGUACCUCUACUUCCACGACGAGAUGGGUAAGACUACGCCCGACGAUGCGACAAGUACCUCUAACGAUGACUUGAACGUCUAUGAAACAUGUGCCACUACGGUCGCCCCGGAAACACCAGAUGUGUCAAGUUCCUCUC